rnacentral:lncRNA from 1 species
GGGCGUGGCGUAAGAGGGCUGUAUGCUGGUGCUCAGGUAUGGGGGCGUGGCGUGGCUGUUGGAGGCAUUGUCUGGUUGCGGCGCAAGGGAUAGAACCCUAGGGUUUUAGAGUUGUAAUUUUCUGGGCCUAUCGGGCCUAUAUUUUGGGUCUUGGGUCAUUGGGGUUAAUCUGGUUUUAGGAUAUUUGAUUUUGGGUUGUAUUCAUUAUUGG